AAAAGACAAAGGCCUCUGCCACGCCUCACUCACAGCUUUAAACACUGUGAGGUGAUGCUAAGUGGGGAUAAUCUUGGCACAGUCACAGCAUCUGAAACUGAACGACUUCAUUUCUCAAGUAGUUUGUCAAAAUGGGGAAAAUAGAAGCAAGCAGCCACCGCUUCAAAGGCACUGAAACUCAACGUGUCCAGAAUUUAUCCUCACCACCUUUCCGUGGUGCCUGUCGUCUCUCCUUCGGUCCUGAUCGUGGUGGCUGGCAUACACUUGGCUGCUCAAGUCAACACCAGGUGAGCCAUCUCCCCCUCCUCAGUAGAGUCACAAUAGCAUUUACCAUACAAAAUGCUGCACCCCGGGAGUAAAAGGAAGUGUUAAUAGCAAUUACUCCAGUAUGCCAAGGAAUGUUCCAGACAAAGCACGACCUCCAGUGACACUGCCUCUUUCUUUCUCUUACUAUCUCCUCCCCACUAAGUCCUGUAGAUUCCACCUCCUAAAUAUGCUACCCCUAAUUCAGAUUGUCAUCUCUGUUUAGUUUGUGUCGAGGGCCUCCAAACUCAUUGCCUUUCGUGCAGUCUUUCAGUUUUCAGUCUGUUUUCCACCUAACAGAGGGGUCUUUCUAAAACAUAUACUUAGUCGUCUCAUCCCUACUCUUAGAAACUCUUGGUGAUCUUGCUAAAAUUCAUACUCCUCAACUUGGUCCUCAUUUACUUCUUCCACAUCAUUUCUCAUUCCCCUUAUCUCUUUUUGCCUUGGGGGUUAUGCUAUGACCAGGUUGAAGUUCUUGAAGUUCCUUGCAAAUGCUGAGUUCUCUCAUCUUCCAGCCUCCACCUCUGUUCUUCCCAGUGCCUGAAGCCUUUUGCUCACCUUCACAUCUUUCCUAUGGUGAACUCUUCUUUAUCUUUCAGCUCCUCUCUGAUCUGACCCCCAGAGCUCACACCUAGCUUCCACCCAGCAACUGGAAGGGCUCAGCUAAAACAGAAAUCUAACCAGAUAACUUCUCUGAUCAAACAAUUCAGUGGGUUCUGGUCUUCUAAAACAUAAAAUCCAAGCUCCUAAUAGAUCUCAGAAAGCAUGGGUGUCUCUUUUACCUUUGCUCAUGAUGUGUUUAGAAAGCUCAUAUAUAUUUUGGGAGGCUGUAGAGUUUGAAUCUUUGUUCUUAUUAGCUGGGUGAUCUUGGGAAAUUUUCUAACCAAUUUUCAUCUUGCAUUAGCUUCAGUAUAAUGGAGAUGGUCUAUCUAUCUCAGAGAGGUUUUGUGAUGAUGACAUGAAUUAGCAUUUUAAAAGUGCCCAUAAUAAACUCUCACCGAAUUUAGUCA
rnacentral:lncRNA from 1 species